rnacentral:lncRNA from 1 species
CAGAAAAAAAAUAAAAUACUUGGGAAUGAACUUAACAAAAGAGAUGAAAGACCUCUACAAUGAAAGCUAAAGAAAGAAAUUAAAGAAGACCUUAGAAGAUGGAAAGAUCUCCCUUGUUCUUGGAUAGGCAGAAUUAAUAUUAUCAAAAUGACCAUACUACCAAAAGCGCUACACAGAUUUAAUGCAAGCCCAAUCAAAAUCCCAAUGACAUUCCUUUAGAAAUAUAAAAAGCCGUCAUGAAAUUCAUUUGGAAAAAUAAGAGACUCAGAAUAGCCAAAGCGAUCCUUAUCAAGAAGAGUGAAGCAGAUGGUAUCACAACAUCAGACAUUAAAUUAUACUACAGAGCAACAGUAACAAAAACAGCAUGGUAUUGGCACCAAAAUAGACUUGCAGACCAAUGGUACAGGAUAGAGGACACAGAGACAAACCCACAUAAAUAUAAUUAUCACAUACUAGACAAAGGUGCCAAAAACAUAUAUUGGAGAAAGAUAGCGUCUUCAACAAAUGGUGCAGGGAAAACUGGAAAUCCAUAUAUAGCAAAAUAAAAUUAAGCCCCUCUCUCUGCUAUGCACAAAACUCAAAGUGGAUCAAGGACCUAGAAAUUAAAC